rnacentral:rRNA from 1 species
CCUACGGGUGGCAGCAGUGAGGAAUAUUGGUCAAUGGACGAGAGUCUGAACCAGCCAAGUAGCGUGAAGGAUGACUGCCCUAUGGGUUGUAAACUUCUUUUAUAGGGGAAUAAAAUGUUCCACGUGUCGGAUUUUGUAUGUACCAUAUGAAAAAGGAUCGGCUAACUCCGUGCCAGCAGCCGCGGUAAUACGGAGGAUCCGAGCGUUGUCCGGAAUUAUUGGGCGUAAAGGGUUCGUAGGCGGAAUGUAAAGUCAGGUGUUAAAGGCGCAGGCUCAACCUGUGUACGGCACUUGAUACUUGCAAGCUGGAGUGCGGGAGAGGUAAGGGGAAUUCCUGGUGUAGCGGUGAAAUGCUUAGAUAUCAGGAGGAACAUCGGUGGCGAAGGCGCUUUACUGGGCCGUAAUUGACGCUGAGGAACGAAAGCCAGGGUAGCAAAUAGGAUUAGAUACCCUUGUAGUC